rnacentral:rRNA from 1 species
AUGAACGCUAGCGACAGGCUUAACACAUGCAAGUCGAGGGGCAGCACAGGUAGCAAUACCGGGUGGCGACCGGCGCACGGGUGAGUAACGCGUAUGCAACUUACCUAUCAGAGGGGGAUAACCCGGCGAAAGUCGGACUAAUACCGCAUGAAGCAGGGGCCCCGCAUGGGGAUAUUUGCUAAAGAUUCAUCGCUGAUAGAUAGGCAUGCGUUCCAUUAGGCAGUUGGCGGGGUAACGGCCCACCAAACCGACGAUGGAUAGGGGUUCUGAGAGGAAGGUCCCCCACAUUGGUACUGAGACACGGACCAAACUCCUACGGGAGGCAGCAGUGAGGAAUAUUGGUCAAUGGCCGAGAGGCUGAACCAGCCAAGUCGCGUGAGGGAUGAAGGUUCUAUGGAUCGUAAACCUCUUUUAUAAGGGAAUAAAGUGCGGGACGUGUCCCGUUUUGUAUGUACCUUAUGAAUAAGGAUCGGCUAACUCCGUGCCAGCAGCCGCGGUAAUACGGAGGAUCCGAGCGUUAUCCGGAUUUAUUGGGUUUAAAGGGUGCGUAGGCGGCCUUUUAAGUCAGCGGUGAAAGUCUGUGGCUCAACCAUAGAAUUGCCGUUGAAACUGGGGGGCUUGAGUAUGUUUGAGGCAGGCGGAAUGCGUGGUGUAGCGGUGAAAUGCAUAGAUAUCACGCAGAACCCCGAUUGCGAAGGCAGCCUGCCAAGCCAUGACUGACGCUGAUGCACGAAAGCGUGGGGAUCAAACAGGAUUAGAUACCCUGGUAGUCCACGCAGUAAACGAUGAUCACUAGCUGUUUGCGAUACACUGUAAGCGGCACAGCGAAAGCGUUAAGUGAUCCACCUGGGGAGUACGCCGGCAACGGUGAAACUCAAAGGAAUUGACGGGGGCCCGCACAAGCGGAGGAACAUGUGGUUUAAUUCGAUGAUACGCGAGGAACCUUACCCGGGUUUGAACGCAUUCGGACCGAGGUGGAAACACCUUUUCUAGCAAUAGCCGUUUGCGAGGUGCUGCAUGGUUGUCGUCAGCUCGUGCCGUGAGGUGUCGGCUUAAGUGCCAUAACGAGCGCAACCCUUGCCACUAGUUACUAACAGGUAAAGCUGAGGACUCUGGUGGGACUGCCAGCGUAAGCUGCGAGGAAGGCGGGGAUGACGUCAAAUCAGCACGGCCCUUACAUCCGGGGCGACACACGUGUUACAAUGGCGUGGACAAAGGGAAGCCACCUGGCGACAGGGAGCGAAUCCCCAAACCACGUCUCAGUUCGGAUCGGAGUCUGCAACCCGACUCCAUGAAGCUGGAUUCGCUAGUAAUCGCGCAUCAGCCACGGCGCGGUGAAUACGUUCCCGGGCCUUGUACACACCGCCCGUCAAGCCAUGGGAGCCGGGGGUACCUGAAGUCCGUAACCGAAAGGAUCGGCCUAGGGUAAAACUGGUGACUGGGGCU